UACGUAGGGUACAAGCGUUGUCCGGAAUUAUUGGGCGUAAAGAGCUCGUAGGCGGUUCGUCGCGUCGGCUGUGAAAACCCGGAGCUCAACUCCGGGCCUGCAGUCGAUACGGGCGGACUUGAGUGUUGCAGGGGAGACUGGAAUUCCUGGUGUAGCGGUGAAAUGCGCAGAUAUCAGGAGGAACACCGGUGGCGAAGGCGGGUCUCUGGGCAACUACUGACGCUGAGGAGCGAAAGCGUGGGGAGCGAACAGG
rnacentral:rRNA from 1 species